GACGAACGCUGGCGGCGUGCUUAACACAUGCAAGUCGAACGGAAAGACCCUGCUUUUGUGGGGUGCUCGUGUGGCGAACGGGUGAGUAACACGUGAGUAACCUGCCCUUGACUUUGGGAUAACUUCUGGAGACUGGGGCUAAUACCGGAUAGGAGCUCCUGAUGCAUGGUGGGGGUUGGAAAGAUUCGGCGGUGGGGGAUGGACUCGAGGCUUAUGAGCUUGUUUGUGGGGUAGUGGCUGACCAAGGCUUUGACGGGUAGGCGGCCUGGGAGGGGGACCGGCCACAUUAGGACUGAGAUACGGCGCAGUAGGCUAUGGGCGGCAGCAGUGGGGAAUCUUGCGGAAUGGGCGGAAGCCUGAGGCAGCAACCCUGGGAGCGGGAUGCCGUGUUUCGGGUUGUAAACCGAUGUGGCCGUAGAUGAAGCGUGCUUGACGGUAAUGGGUAAGGAAGCACCGGCUAACUACGUG
rnacentral:rRNA from 1 species